rnacentral:pre_miRNA from 1 species
UAAAUACUCCCUCCGUCCGAAAAUACUUGUCAUCAAAAGGGAUAAAAAGAGAUGUAUCUAAAACUAAAAUACGUCUAGAUACAUUUCCUUUUAUCCAUUUUGAUGACAAGUAUUUCCGGACGGAGGGAGUAUUUG